GAUGUUGAUGUUGAUAUUGACUUAGGAAGAGAAGGGCGUGCUAACAAAAUAUCUAGACUACAGGCAAUUAUAAAACUGGAGGAAGAUGGUUCCUUCACUUUGAAGAAUCUGGGCAAGAGUUCUAUAUUUUUUAAUGGAAAGGAAGUUUGUACUGGACAGCUGAUGGCUGUUGGUUUAAGCAGUUUGAUUGAGAUUAGGGACAUGGCUUUUGCCUUUGAAAUAAACCAAAAUUCUGUGAAGCGUCAUAUGGCAAAAAUCACCCC